rnacentral:rRNA from 1 species
AUUGAACGCUGGCGGCAGGCCUAACACAUGCAAGUCGAACGAGUGGCGGACGGGUGAGUAAUGUCUGGGAAACUGCCUGACGGAGGGGGCUAACUACUGGAAACGGUAGCUAAUACCGCAUACCAUCGGAUGUGCCCAGAUGGGAUUAGCUAGUGGGUGGGGUAACGGCUCACCUAGGCGACGAUCCCUAGCUGGUCUGAGAGGAGGACCAGCCACACUGGAACUGAGACACGGUCCAGACUCCUACGGGAGGCAGCAGUGGGGAAUAUUGCGCAAUGGACGCAAGCCUGAUGCAGCCAUGCCGCGUGUGUGAAGAAGGCCUUCGGGUUGUAAAGCACUUUCAGCGGGGAGGCGUUACCCGCAGAAGAAGCACCGGCUAACUCCGUGCCAGCAGCCGCGGUAAUAC